rnacentral:rRNA from 2 species
GAGUGGCGAACUGGUGAGUAACACGUGGGAAACCUGCCCAGAAGCGGGGGAUAACACCUGGAAACAGAUGCUAAUACCGCAUAACAACUUGGACCGCAUGGUCCGAGUUUGAAAGAUGGCUUCGGCUAUCACUUUUGGAUGGUCCCGCGGCGUAUUAGCUAGAUGGUGAGGUAACGGCUCACCAUGGCAAUGAUACGUAGCCGACCUGAGAGGGUAAUCGGCCACAUUGGGACUGAGACACGGCCCAAACUCCUACGGGAGGCAGCAGUAGGGAAUCUUCCACAAUGGACGAAAGUCUGAUGGAGCAACGCCGCGUGAGUGAAGAAGGGUUUCGGCUCGUAAAACUCUGUUGUUAAAGAAGAACAUAUCUGAGAGUAACUGUUCAGGUAUUGACGGUAUUUAACCAGAAAGCCACGGCUAACUACGUGCCAGCAGCCGCGGUAAUACGUAGGUGGCAAGCGUUGUCCGGAUUUAUUGGGCGUAAAGCGAGCGCAGGCGGUUUUUUAAGUCUGAUGUGAAAGCCUUCGGCUCAACCGAAGAAGUGCAUCGGAAACUGGGAAACUUGAGUGCAGAAGAGGACAGUGGAACUCCAUGUGUAGCGGUGAAAUGCGUAGAUAUAUGGAAGAACACCAGUGGCGAAGGCGGCUGUCUGGUCUGUAACUGACGCUGAGGCUCGAAAGUAUGGGUAGCAAACAGGAUUAGAUACCCUGGUAGUCCAUACCGUAAACGAUGAAUGCUAAGUGUUGGAGGGUUUCCGCCCUUCAGUGCUGCAGCUAACGCAUUAAGCAUUCCGCCUGGGGAGUACGGCCGCAAGGCUGAAACUCAAAGGAAUUGACGGGGGCCCGCACAAGCGGUGGAGCAUGUGGUUUAAUUCGAAGCUACGCGAAGAACCUUACCAGGUCUUGACAUACUAUGCAAAUCUAAGAGAUUAGACGUUCCCUUCGGGGACAUGGAUACAGGUGGUGCAUGGUUGUCGUCAGCUCGUGUCGUGAGAUGUUGGGUUAAGUCCCGCAACGAGCGCAACCCUUAUUAUCAGUUGCCAGCAUUAAGUUGGGCACUCUGGUGAGACUGCCGGUGACAAACCGGAGGAAGGUGGGGAUGACGUCAAAUCAUCAUGCCCCUUAUGACCUGGGCUACACACGUGCUACAAUGGAUGGUACAACGAGUUGCGAACUCGCGAGAGUAAGCUAAUCUCUUAAAGCCAUUCUCAGUUCGGAUUGUAGGCUGCAACUCGCCUACAUGAAGUCGGAAUCGCUAGUAAUCGCGGAUCAGCAUGCCGCGGUGAAUACGUUCCCGGGCCUUGUACACACCGCCCGUCACACCAUGAGAGUUUGUAACACCCAAAGUCGGUGGGGUAACCUUUUAGGAACCAGCCGCCUAAGGUGGGACAGAUGAUUAGGGUG